rnacentral:snRNA from 1 species
GGAUAAGAGGGCAAUCUGGCUGCAACAUCUGUCACCCCAUUGAUCUCCAGGGUUGAUCCAGCUGAUCUGGCUGGCUAGGUUAGUGUCCCCUUCCUCCCUCACCACUCCUGGUGUGUCGUUCCAGAAGCUGCAUGCUUGGUCAAAGAGGAUGAUAUUCCCCAAAUAGAGGAGGACCAGUCUUUGGUCAAGAGUACAAGAGUAGCUGUGCUCCCCUGCUAGAACCUCCAAACAAGCUCUCAAUGUCAUGUUUCAGAAGUCAUCAACUAAUCUAGUAUCCCACAG